CUCAUGGUGAGCUUUUGGGAUCGCCUUUUGUCCAACGUGCGUUGUGCGGUGUCAACAUUUGCCUUGUUAACUCUCUAGAGGCCACGUGGAUGAGUUCGAAAAUGGUUACGUUUGCUUGAAAAACAUGGCUGCCAAGGGGCGGGGCAUUUUUCCUUAUAUGGCUAUAUAUGGCUAUAGUAAAAUCUUGUUAACACUCUAGAGGCCACAUUUAUUGUCUGAUCUUCAUGAAACUUGGUCAAAAGAUUCAUCCCAAUAAUAUCUUAGACGAGUUCGAAAAUGAUGCCGGUUGGUUGAAAAACAUGGCCGCCAGGGGGCGGGGCAUUUUUCCUUAUAUGGCUAUAGUAAAACCUUGUUAACACUCUAGAGGCCACAUUUAUUUUCCGAUAUUCAUGCGCAUGAAGAUUUGUCCCAAUGAUAUCUUGGAUGAGUUCAAAAAUGGUAACAUUUGCUUGAAAAACAUGGCUGCCAAGGGGCGGGGCAUUUUUAACCAGGUUUUCCGAAGGAAAAAACUGGUUAUUAGAUUGGCGAAUGCGGGCGGGCUGGCUGGCGGGCUGGCUGGCGGGCUGGCGGAAUAAGCUUGUCCGGGCCAUAACUAUGUCGUUCAUUGUCAGAUUUUAAAAUCAUUUGGCACAUUUGUUCACCAUCAUUGGACGGUGUGUCGCGCGAAAUAAUUACGUCGAUAUCUCCAAGGUCAAGGUCACACUUUGAAUUCAAAGGUCAAAAAUGGCCAUAAAUGAGCUUGUCCUGGCCAUAACUAUGUCAUUCAUUGUGAGAUUUUAAAAUCAUUUGGCACAUUUGUUCACCAUCAUGGGACGGUGUGUCCCACGAAAGAAUCACGUCAAUAUCUCCAAUGUCAAGGUCGCCACGACUAAAAAUAGAUUUAAAAAAAAAAAAAAAAAUUACAAAGGGGGUUAUUUUUUUUUUUUCAUUUCAAAA